AUUGAACGCUGGCGGCAUGCCUUACACAUGCAAGUCGAACGGCAGCGGGGACUUCGGUCCGCCGGCGAGUGGCGAACGGGUGAGUAAUGUAUCGGAACGUACCAUUCAGUGGGGGAUAACUAUCCGAAAGGAUAGCUAAUACCGCAUAUUCUGUGAGCAGGAAAGCAGGGGAUCGCAAGACCUUGCGCUGAUUGAGCGGCCGAUAUCAGAUUAGCUAGUUGGUGAGGUAACGGCUCACCAAGGCUACGAUCUGUAGCGGGUCUGAGAGGAUGAUCCGCCACACUGGGGCGGGGUCAAGGCCCAGACUCCUACGGGGGGCAGCAGGGGGGAAUUUUGGACAAUGGGCGCAAGCCUGAUCCGGCCAUGGCGCGGGGGUGAAGAAGGCCUUCGGGUUGUAAAGCUCUUUCGGCCGGGAAGAAAUCGCAUCAGCUAAUACCUGGUGUGGAUGACGGUACCGGAAUAAGAAGCACCGGCUAACUACGUGCCAGCCGCCGCCGUAAGAC
rnacentral:rRNA from 1 species